rnacentral:ncRNA from 2 species
UAUUGCACUCGUCCCGGCCU